rnacentral:rRNA from 1 species
GGAGGAUGCGAGCGUUAUCCGGAUUUAUUGGGUUUAAAGGGAGCGCAGACGGGGGAUUAAGUCAGUUGUGAAAGUUUGCGGCUCAACCGUAAAAUUGCAGUUGAUACUGGUUCCCUUGAGUGCAGUUGAGGCAGGCGGAAUUCGUGGUGUAGCGGUGAAAUGCAUAGAUAUCACGAAGAACCCCGAUUGCGAAGGCAGCCUGCUAAGCUGUAACUGACGUUGAGGCUCGAAAGUGUGGGUAUCAAACAGGAUUAGAUACCCUGGUAGUCCACACGGUAAACGAUGGAUACUCGCUGUUGGCGAUAUACUGUCAGCGGCCAAGCGAAAGCAUUAAGUAUCCCACCUGGGGAGU